rnacentral:rRNA from 1 species
CCUACGGGAGGCAGCAGUGGGGAAUAUUGGACAAUGGGCGAAAGCCUGAUCCAGCAAUGCCGCGUGAGUGAUGAAGGCCUUAGGGUUGUAAAGCUCUUUUACCAGGGAUGAUAAUGACAGUACCUGGAGAAUAAGCUCCGGCUAACUUCGUGCCAGCAGCCGCGGUAAUACGAGGGGAGCUAGCGUUGUUCGGAAUUACUGGGCGUAAAGCGUGCGUAGGCGGUUACUCAAGUCAGAGGUGAAAGCCCGGGGCUCAACCCCGGAACGGCCUUUGAAACUAGGUAACUAGAAUCUUGGAGAGGUUAGUGGAAUUCCGAGUGUAGAGGUGAAAUUCGUAGAUAUUCGGAAGAACACCAGUGGCGAAGGCGACUAACUGGACAAGCAUUGACGCUGAGGCACGAAAGCGUGGGGAGCAAACAGGAUUAGAUACCCUGGUAGUCCACGCCGUAAACGAUGAUAACUAGCUGUCCGGGCACUUGGUGCUUGGGUGGCGCAGCUACGCAUUAAGUUAUCCGUCCGUCGGGUAGGUACGGUCGCGAGAAUUAAACUACAAUAGAAUUAGUACGGCGUGAGACGUGCCGACGGACGACGACGAGGGAGGUAGG